rnacentral:lncRNA from 1 species
CAUGGUUAGUCCCUUGGUCUGCAACCCCAAGUUUAGGGGUUCAACCCCUGAUGCCCCCUAUGUUUGCUUUUCUCCACUUUUUAUUUUUUUCUUUCUUUUCUUUUUACUUUUCUUUGUUUAUUUAUUUAUUACUUUUCAUCACUUAAUCCAUAGUUAAUCUUUUGUUUCCCAUUUAUUUUCCUUUGAUAAAUUCUUUUUACUCAAAUA